rnacentral:rRNA from 1 species
UACGUAGGGGGCAAGCGUUGUCCGGAUUUAUUGGGCGUAAAGAGCUCGUAGGCGGUCUGUCGCGUCGAUCGUGAAAACUUGGGGCUUAACCCUGAGCUUGCGGUCGAUACGGGCAUGACUGGAGUUCGGCAGGGGAGACUGGAAUUCCUGGUGUAGCGGUGAAAUGCGCAGAUAUCAGGAGGAACACCGGUGGCGAAGGCGGGUCUCUGGGCCGACACUGACGCUGAGGAGCGAAAGCGUGGGGAGCGAACAGG